rnacentral:rRNA from 1 species
CACGUAGGUGGUUUUAUAAGUCGGAUGUGAAAGCCCCGGGCUUAACCUGGGAAUUGCAUCUGAUACUGUCUGACUAGAGUAUGCUAGAGGGAAGUGGAAUUCCAGGUGUAGCGGUGAAAUGCGUAGAUAUCUGGAGGAACACCAAUGGCGAAGGCAACUUCCUGGGGCAAUACUGACACUGAUGUGCGAAAGCGUGGGAGCAAACA